rnacentral:rRNA from 1 species
GACGAACGCUGGCGGCGUGCUUAACACAUGCAAGUCGAACGGAGUGGCGAGCGGGUGAGUAACAAGUGGGUGACCUGCCCUGCACUUCGGGGUGAGCCUGGGAAAAUGGGUCAACUACCGGCUAGUGUGGGAUGGGCCCGCGGCCUAUCAGCUUGUUGGUGGGGUAAUGGCCUACCACGGCGGAGCCGGGUAGCCGGCCUGGGAGGGUGGACAGGCACAAUGGGACUGAGAGACGGCCCAGACGGCUACAGGGCGCAGUGGGGGGGAAUAUGGUACAACGGGCGGGAGCCUGAUGCAGCGACGCUGGGUGGGGGAUGACGGUCUUCGGGUUGUAAACUCCUUUCACCAUCGACGCGGUAGAUGGAGAAGAAGCACCGGCUAACUACGUGCCAGCAGCCGCGGUAAUAC